UACGGGGGGGGCAAGCGUUGUUCGGAAUUACUGGGCGUAAAGGGCUCGUAGGCGGCCAACUAAGUCGGAUGUGAAAUCCCCAGGCUUAACCUGGGAACUGCAUCUGAUACUGGAUGGCUUGAAUCCGGGAGAGGGAUGCAGAAUUCCAGGUGUAGCGGUGAAAUGCGUAGAUAUCUGGAGGAAUACCGGUGGCGAAGGCGGCAUCCUGGACCAACACUGACACUGAGGAGCGAAAGCCAGGGGAGCAAACGGG
rnacentral:rRNA from 1 species